rnacentral:rRNA from 1 species
UUGGAGGGCAAGUCUGGUGCCAGCAGCCGCGGUAAUUCCAGCUCCAAUAGCGUAUAUUAAAGUUGUUGCAGUUAAAAAGCUCGUAGUUGAAUUUCGGGGUCAGUAGGUUGGUCGUGCCACCGGUACGUACUGGUCUCACUGAUUCCUCCUUCCUGAUGAGCUGUAAUGCCAUUAAUUUGGUGUUGCAGGGAAUCUGGACUGUUACUUUGAAAAAAUUAGAGUGUUUAAAGCAGGCUAACGCUUGAAUACAUUAGCAUGGAAUAAUGAAAUAGGACGUUCGAUCCUAUUUUGUUGGUUUCUAGGAUUGACGUAAUGAUUAAUAGGGAUAGUUGGGGGCAUUAGUAUUCAAUUGUCAGAGGUGAAAUUCUUGGAUUUAUUGAAGACUAACUACUGCGAAAGCAUUUGCCAAGGAUGUUUUCAUUAAUCAAGAACGAAAGUUAGGGGAUCGAAGACGAUCAGAUACCGUCGUAGUCAUAACCAUAAACUAUGCCGACUAGGGAUCGGAUGAUGUUAAUUUUUUAAUGACUCAUUCGGCGCCUUACGGGAAACCAAAGUGUUUGGGUUC